rnacentral:rRNA from 1 species
GAUGAACGCUGGCGGCGUGCCUAAUACAUGCAAGUCGAGCGAACAGACGAGGAGCUUGCUCCUCUGACGUUAGCGGCGGACGGGUGAGUAACACGUGGAUAACCUACCUAUAAGACUGGGAUAACUUCGGGAAACCGGAGCUAAUACCGGAUAAUAUAUUGAACCGCAUGGUUCAAUAGUGAAAGACGGUUUUGCUGUCACUUAUAGAUGGAUCCGCGCCGCAUUAGCUAGUUGGUAAGGUAACGGCUUACCAAGGCAACGAUGCGUAGCCGACCUGAGAGGGGGGUAGGGCACAAGAGAAGGGGGACGGGGAACAGAGGAAGGAGAGAGGGAGCAGUAGGGAAAGGUGGGCAAGGGGGGGGAGUAUGAAGAAGUAAGUGAGAGUGAGAGAUAAAAGUGUUAGGAGAGUGAUAAUGUCUUAAGAGGGAAAAACAAAGGGGUAAGGGACUAAACAGGUCGUGACGGUAAGGAAUAAGAAAGCAACGACUAACGACGUG